rnacentral:rRNA from 1 species
UGGGGAAUAUUGCACAAUGGGCGCAAGCCUGAUGCAGCCAUGCCGCGUGUAUGAAGAAGGCCUUCGGGUUGUAAAGUACUUUCAGCGGGGAGGAAGGGAGUAAAGUUAAUACCUUUACUCAUUGACGUUACCCGCAGAAGAAGCACCGGCUAACUCCGUGCCAGCAGCCGCGGUAAUACGGAGGGUGCAAGCAUUAAUCGGAAUUACUGGGCGUAAAGCGCACGCAGGCGGUUUGUUAAGUCAGAUGUGAAAUCCCCGGGCUCAACCUGGGAACUGCAUCUGAUACUGGCAAGCUUGAGUCUCGUAGAGGGGGGUAGAAUUCCAGGUGUAGCGGUGAAAUGCGUAGAGAUCUGGAGGAACACCGGUGGCGAAGGCGGCCCCCUGGACGAAGACUGACGCUCAGGUGCGAAAGCGUGGGGAGCAAACAGG